GUCCCUGGGGAUGGUCACUGAUCAUGUGCUCACCAUAAAGCAAGAUACUUGGGCUAUAGGUGAUCAUUUCCUUUGCAGUAUAAGCUCCAGGUCUCCAUUUGAUGACUCCAGUGCCUAAGCAGCCAUGGAAAACUACUACAGUGCUAAAUGAACAGAAAAAGCCCACCCUCCAAGGCAUCAAGGAGAAUUCAAUUACAGCAGGGACUGCCGAGACC